rnacentral:lncRNA from 1 species
AUGAGAAAGAACAUAGCAUUGCUGGGAAACUCUCAGAUCGGAUGUCAUCAGGGUGGACGUCAGCGUAGCACCUGUGAGUGCAGUCACCCAGGGAGAAGGCACUGAGGGAAAAGAUGUCAGGAGCAGCACCUAAGAGCUCUUGGAGGAGAGACGGGGGCUGUAAGACCAGGAGAACAAGAGGGACCCACGCUCAGGGAAGCUGUGGGUAGCAACAGUGGGCAGCUCUCCACUAACUCAGCAAGGAGAGAAAGGAACAUCUGGACUCUUAGACAUUUUAGUUUUAGGGUUGAAUUGAUAGCUCAACAGUUAAAAGCACUGGCUGCACUUCCAGAGGUCCUGAGUUCAAUUCCCAGCAACCGCGUGGUGACUCACAACCAUCUGUAACGCAGGAUCCGAUGCUUUCUUCUGGCAUUCAGGUGUACAUGCAAGUAGAGCACUCCUAUACAUAAGAUGAAUACAUCUUUAAAGAAAGAAAAAGAAAGCUUGGUUUCAGUGGUUGGAUAAGUGGACGGAAGUUAGAGGCUGGGGUGGGUGGAACCUUCAGGGAGAACACCUGGAGGAAGUGGGAAGCAAGACAAAUCUCCAACAGCACUGUGUGGAAAUGAAGGCCUUCCGAGGACUGGAAUCGUUAAUCACUAAAGUGUAUCCUAACGCUGCCUGUGACUGCAGAGCAUGCCAGAGCACACACACU